AUGCGCAAGCUGGCGGAGAAGUUCGACGCUCUGGAGCUGAAGGUGAAGAAGGUGGCCGCGCCGUUCACCAUGAAGAAGCACUCAUCCAACAGGAACGAGCUGCUUGGACCGAGCGACGACAGGUGCACGGUGGUGGACAUAAAGAGCACGGCCAACAUGGAGAAUGAAGAGAUUGUCCAGCUGCAGAGGAACAUCAUGAAAGAGCAAGAUGAGUGUCUAGACAGGCUGGAGGAGACCAUAGUCAGCACCAAGCACAUCGCGCUGGCGAUCAACGAGGAGCUGGACCUGCACGUCAGGCUAAUUGAUGAUCUGGACGAGAGGGUGGAGGACACGAGCAACCAGCUGCAGCGCGCGCAGAAGAAGCUCAAAUCACUCAACACACGGAUGCGGAAAAGCGGGUCAUGCACGGGCAUCCUCGUGUCGAUCAUCGCAGGUGUGAUCUUCGUCGCCGUGGUCUGGGCUCUCAUCAAGUUCUAG
rnacentral:rRNA from 1 species